rnacentral:rRNA from 1 species
CCCUUAGAUGUUCUGGGCCGCACACGCGCUACAAUGGUGAAUUCAACAAGUCAACCAAAGCCGAUAGGUGGAGGUAAACUCGUAGUAUUCGCCGUGAUGGGGAUAGACCCUUGUAAUUAUUGGUCUCCAACGAGGAAUUCCUAGUAGACGCAAGUCAUCAACUUGCAUCGAUUACGUCCCUGCCCUUUGUACACACCGCCCGUCGCUCCUACCGAUUGAAUGAUCCGAUGAAUAUCAUGGAUUGAGGAUGCAAGCAGGUUCGCCUGUCUUCAUCUUCGAGAAGUGAAGUAAAUCUUAUCAUUUAGAGGAAGGAGAAGUCGUAACA